rnacentral:lncRNA from 1 species
UGAUAAGAAUUUGCUACAACCAUGCCUUAAAUAUAAUGGUGAACCUUUUUGGGUAUUCUUCCAAAGCCAGUGGACAGAGUUGUGCAGUAACACAGUAAAGGAGGAUUUACAGAAAGAAAAUGUGAAUUAGAAUCUACCUCUUAUGCUUUCCGCAGUGAUGAUGUAGCUGGUCAUCUUUUGUGCCUUUGGACAUCUUGUUUCAGUUAAGGCAUCUCUAGACUCAGCCGUCACAUCCUAAAGAGGCUGACAGCAUGUGAAGGCAGAAAGUAUCCUUUGAUGAGAAAAUGCAAAUCUUAAACAAAACAUUUGCAGAACCACUAAUCACCAUUUCCGUACAAUUGCAGAAUGAUAUGGUAUUUGUUACAGAACGACUCUAAGAAACCAUACCAGGAGCUAAGACAGAGAAAGCCAAAGGUCUGGUUUGCUGAUGGAAGCCAAAGUAAGAGCUUCUUUGUCCUAGUUUCUGAUGAAGUAUUCUGGCCCCUGUUUUAUUUCCCCGUUCCUCCGUGUGGUCUUCCUGAGACCUCUUGGCAGAGAGAGGGUUUCACAGCCUGCAGUGUUAAUUCUGAGAAGUGUGAAGGAAGCUGAACCAUGCUGGAUGAUGUGACUCACCUUGGAGAA